GAGUUUGACGUGGCUCAGGAUGAACGCUAGCGGCAGGCUUAAUACAUGCAAGUCGAGGGGCAGCGGGGUAGCAAUACCGCCGGCGACCGGCAAACGGGUGCGGAACACGUACACAACCUUCCUUAAGGUGGGGGAUAGCCCAGAGAAAUUUGGAUUAAUACCUCAUAGGAUAUUGGGAUCGCAUGAUUUUGAUAUUAAAGAUUUAUUGCCUUAAGAUGGGUGUGCGUAUGAUUAGGUAGUUGGUGCGGGUAACGGCCCACCAAGCCUUCGAUCAUUAACUGGUGUGAGAGCACGACCAGUCACACGGGCACUGAGACACGGGCCCGACUCCUACGGGAGGCAGCAGUAAGGAUAUUGGUCAAUGGACGAAAGUCUGAACCAGCCAUGCCGCGUGAAGGAUGAAGGCCCCUCUGGGUUGUAAACUUCUUUUCUCUGGGGCGAAAAAGGGAUUCUUUCCCGUCUGCGGUACCAGAGGAAUAAGCACCGGCUAACUCCGUGCCAG
rnacentral:rRNA from 1 species